rnacentral:rRNA from 1 species
GACGAACGCUGGCGGCGUGCUUAACACAUGCAAGUCGAACGGAAAGGCCCUGCUUUUGUGGGGUGCUCGAGUGGCGAACGGGUGAGUAACACGUGAGUAACCUGCCCUUGACUUUGGGAUAACUUCAGGAAACUGGGGCUAAUACCGGAUAGGAGCUCCUGCUGCAUGGUGGGGGUUGGAAAGUUUCGGCGGUUGGGGAUGGACUCGCGGCUUAUCAGCUUGUUGGUGGGGUAGUGGCUUACCAAGGCUUUGACGGGUAGCCGGCCUGAGAGGGUGACCGGCCACAUUGGGACUGAGAUACGGCCCAGACUCCUACGGGAGGCAGCAGUGGGGAAUAGUGCACAAUGGGCGGAAGCCUGAUGCAGCAACGCCGCGUGCGGGAUGACGGCCUUCGGGUUGUAAACCGCUUUCGCCUGUGACGAAGCGUGAGUGACGGUAAUGGGAAAAGAAGCACCGGCUAACUACGUG